rnacentral:lncRNA from 1 species
CAACACACAGGAUUAUGUCACCGGAAGUAUUAUUGCAUAUGAGUGAUGUCACCCACCACAUCCAGUGCUCUUCUCACUGACCACCAAUGAAAGAGGUGCCCCUUCUGGAAGUGUGGUGGGGGCUGGAUAAAUGGCCUCAGGGGGCUGUGGUUUGGGGAACCCUGCCUUAGAGGCUCACUAAGAAAAAAAGAAAGAAAUGGGGUGAUGACUAGAGGCAACAAGGCAGCAGGCAGUAUGCCUCAUCCAGUAUGCCUCAUCCAGUAUGCCUCAUCCAAUCAGAUUCACAGAUUGCCUGGAUUCUAUUCAAAGACCUGUGGAGGACAGGAAGGGAAGACACUGAAACAGAGAGACUUAAUGCCACAGCAGCCUCAGAGCUAUCAAUCAACAGUUCUUUAUUAAGUGAUAGAGGCAAGUAAAGCUAUUGAGAGAGCAGGCCACCUCAUACUCCUUUG